GCCCCAGACUCCUACGGGAGGCAGCAGUGAGGAAUAUUGGUCAAUGGGCGGGAGCCUGAACCAGCCAAGCCGCGUGGGGGAAGAAGGUACAGCGUAUCGUAAACCUCUUUUGUCAGGGAACAAAGGCGGGGACUAGUCCCCGGAUGAGGGUACCUGAAGAAAAAGCAUCGGCUAACUCCGUGCCAGCAGCCGCGGUAAUACGGAGGAUGCGAGCGUUAUCCGGAUUUAUUGGGUUUAAAGGGUGAGCAGGCGGAAGAUCAAGUCAGGGUUAAAAUGGAGAGGCUCAACCUCUUCGAGCCGUUGAAACUGGUUUUCUUGAGUGAGCGAGAAGUAUGCGGAAUGCGUGGUGUAGCGGUGAAAUGCAUAGAUAUCACGCAGAACUCCGAUUGCGAAGGCAGCAUGCCGGCUCCACACUGACGCUGAGGCACGAAAGCGUGGGUAUCGAACAGGAUUAGAUACCCUUGUA
rnacentral:rRNA from 1 species